UGAUCUCACAGCUACACUGAGAGCACCGCUUACACAGACACACUGCUUUACCCGAAUUCAUCGCAUCGCCGUGUGUGCAUCUCCUGAGCGGCGGCUGCCAAACUCCUCUGCCUGCAGCACUCCGUCCUUCAGAGUCCAGCAGCGUCCUGUUCUCCAAGACGGCUUCGACAGCACGAGGAAGUGUCGGCGUCUUCACCUACAAUCUCUACAACGAACCAGCAAACCAGGCAGAGAAGAAAGUAGCCGUCAUGUUCUCUGUUCCUUUUGACUACAACCUGUACUCCAACUGCCUGCAGCUCACUGUUGAUCUUAUUCAGGCGGUCUCAUCUCUGCACGCUGCCUAAUUAAGGUGGAUGUGACCAUGGAGGAGCCAGAAAGAAGGAGGAGCCAGAAAGAAGGAGGAGCUUUGACACCAGGUCAUCUGUGAGCCACAGAUCAUCAUCCUUGUUAUUGUUUAAAGAUGGAGUUGUGUUUCCCAGGCUGCCCCUGAACACAUCCUAAAGCCUUCAGCCUGCAGCAGACAGAUGGAGGUGUGCUGCUGUUCCUGUGCAAGAAGAUGAUGCUACUGCUGCUCCACAGAAACAGACAGAUCUGGAUGGAGGACUUUAUGGAGCCAGAGGUUUUUGUUAGACAUGUGAAACUGUGACAUUUCCUAAAACCCGGACUAACACAUGAAGCAGAGAUUUAAGUCCAGAGAUGCAAACAGAAUUCAUUCGUCCCAUAAUGGGGAAAUUUCAAUGUAGUAGCCGCAAGCUAUUGUACAGAGACACAAUAAGAUACUAUAAACACAAUAAGAAAGUAUGAAAAGAUAACAAUAAAUAAGAAAAUACAGAAAAAUACAAAUAAAACUGUAUACACUAUGUAUAGACAAUAUAGACAGUUUGACCAAUCAAAUGUCAGCAGUGUAGAUGAUAUGUACAUAGUAAAUGUAAUGGAAAAUUUGUUUCUGAACUCGAAUAACCUCUGUGUACUUUUCUUGUAAUUGUAAUUUUCUAGCACAAAGACCGAGUGUGUGAAGUUGGGAAAAACAACUUGUAGGCUGUGUUGAAAGGCCAUGGCGCACUUGUUAUCAUGCAGGUGCUACUUGGUGGUGGGAAUCUGAACUCCCCAUGGAUAGUGGAACAAGAUUGUAUCAACACAAUAGUAUAAAGGAAUGGGUGUUAUUCUGUGCUUUGUUCAA